rnacentral:rRNA from 1 species
AUGAAGGAGACGGCGGAGGAUCUACUCGCUCGUCUCACCUUGCAGGAAGAAGAAGAGGACGACUUUGUCUGGGAGGAAGAACUACCAGAUCAGAUGGAGCCGGCGAAGUGGCUGGCAAUCGCGAGGGUGCAUACGCCAAAAACGUUCAGCCCUAAUGCACUGUACGGUGACAUGAGAGCGGCCUGGAAUCCGGCCAAAACGGUUGUAUGGAGGAGGAUCAAGGAGAAUCUGCUUACGGCACAAUUUGGCUGUCUUGCUGAUUGGAAA